rnacentral:misc_RNA from 1 species
UUAAGUUCAGCGGGUAUCCCUACCUGAUCCGAGGUCAACCUUGGAAGUAUGGGGUUCGCUGGCAAGCAACCACCUGGAUCUCCGGAAGCGAGAGGUAACUACUACGCUUGAAGCCAGAUGCGCCGCCACUGAUUUUGAGGCCCGCCGCAUUACCAGCGCGGCCUAAUACCAAGCAGAGCUUGAGGGUUGAAAUGACGCUC